CCUUGUACACACCGCCCGUCACAUCACGAAAAGUCGGUUGCACUAGAAGUCGGUGGGCUAACCCGCAAGGGAGGCAGCCGCCUAAAGUGGGAUCGGUAAUUGGGGUG
rnacentral:rRNA from 1 species